GAUCCUGGCUCAGAACGAACGCUGGCGGCGUGGAUAAGACAUGCAAGUCGAACGAGAGAAUUGCUAACUUGCUAAUAAUUCUCUAGUGGCGCACGGGUGAGUAACACGUGAGUAACCUGCCCCCGAGAGCGGGAUAGCCCUGGGAAACUGGGAUUAAUACCGCAUAGUAUCGAAAGAUUAAAGCAGCAAUGCGCUUGGGGAUGGGCUCGCGGCCUAUUAGUUAGUUGGUGAGGUAACGGCUC
rnacentral:rRNA from 1 species